UACGUAGGGGGCAAGCGUUGUCCGGAUUUAUUGGGCGUAAAGAGCGUGUAGGCGGUUUGGUAGGUCCGCUGUGAAAACUCGAGGCUCAACCUCGAGACGCCGGUGGAAACCAUCAGGCUAGAGUCCGGGAGAGGUGAGUGGAACUCCGAGUGUAGAGGUGAAAUUCGUAGAUAUUCGGAAGAACACCAGUGGCGAAGGCGGCUCACUGGCCCGGUACUGACGCUGAUGUGCGAAAGCGUGGGGAGCAAACAGG
rnacentral:rRNA from 1 species